rnacentral:rRNA from 1 species
CGGAGGGUGCAAGCGUUGCUCGGAAUCACUGGGCGUAAAGGGUGCGUAGGCGGUCUCGCAAGUCUGGCGUGAAAGCCCAAGGCUCAGCCUUGGAAGUGCGCUCGAAACGGCGAGGCUGGAGUGCCGGAGGGGAGAGUGGAAUUCCCGGUGUAGCGGUGAAAUGCGUAGAGAUCGGGGGGAAUACCGGUGGCGAAAGCGACUCUCUGGACGGCAACUGACGCUGAGGCACGAAAGCGUGGGGAGCAAACAGGAUUAGAUACCCUGGUAGUCCACGCCGUAAACGAUGGACACUAGGUGUCGGGGGUAUCCACUCCCUCGGUGCCGCCGCUAACGCAGUAAGUGUCCCGCCUGGGAAGUACGGUCGCAAGAUUA